UAUAUAUAUAUAUAUAUAUAUAUCACAUCUUCUUUAUCCAUUCAUCUAUCAUUGGACACUUAGGUUGCUUACAUAAAUUGGUGAUUGUAAAUAAUGCCGCAGUGAGCAAGGGGCUAC